AUUGAACGCUGGCGGCAGGCCUAACACAUGCAAGUCGAACGGUAACAGGAAGAACCUUGCUUCUUGGCUGACGAGUGGCGGACGGGUGAGUAAUGUCUGUGAAACUGCCUGAUGGAGGGGGAUAACUACUGGAAACGGUAGCUAAUACCGCAUAACGUCUCAAGCCCAAAGAGGGGGACCUUCGGGCCUCUUGCCAUCGACUUUUCCUAGAUGGGAUUAGCUAGUAGGUGGGGUAACGGCUCACCUAGGCGACGAGCCCUAGCUGGACUGAGAGGAUGAACAGCCACACUGGAACUGAGACACGGUCCAGACUCCUACGGGAGGCAGCAGUGGGGAAUAUUGCACAAUGGGCGAAAGCCUGAUGCAGCCAUGCCGCGUGUAUGAAGAAGGCCUUCGGGUUGUAAAGUACUUUCAGCGGGGAGGAAGGGAGUAAAGUUAAUACCUUUGCUCAUUGACGUUACCCGCAGAAGAAGCACCGGCUAACUACGUG
rnacentral:rRNA from 1 species